rnacentral:rRNA from 1 species
AUUGAACGCUGGCGGCAGGCCUAACACAUGCAAGUCGUGCGAGCGGCGGACGGGUGAGUAAUGUAUGGGGAUCUGCCUGAUGGCGGGGGAUAACUACUGGAAACGGUAGCUAAUACCGCAUUCCAUCAGAUGAACCCAUAUGGGAUUAGCUAGUAGGUGAGGUAACGGAUUACCUAGGCGACGAUCCCUAGCUGGUAUGAGAGGAUUAUCAGCCACACUGGGACGGGAACACGGCCCAUACUCCUACGGGAGGCAGAAGUGGGGAAAAUUGCACAAUGGGCGAAAGCCUGAUGCAGCCAUGCGGCGUGUAUGAAGAAGGCCUUCGGGUUGUAAAGUACUUUCAGUCAGGAGGCGUUACAGACAGAAGAAGGACCGGCUAACUCCGUGCCAGCAGCCGCGGUAAUUC